GCGGUGAAAUGCGUAGAUAUCAGGAAGAACACCCGUGGCUAAGGCGGCUCUCUAGUACGGUACUGACGCUGAGACGCGAAAGCGUGGGGAGCGAACAGGAUUAGAUACCCUGGUAGUCCACGCCGUAAACGAUGGGUGCUAGGUGUAGGGGGUGUCGACUCCCUCUGUGCCGAAGCUAACGCAUUAAGCACCCCGCCUGGGGAGUACGGCCGCAAGGCUAAAACUCAAAGGAAUUGACGG
rnacentral:rRNA from 1 species